AAGGAGAGGAGAGCAGACAAGAAGAGGAGACAAGGACCAGGAGUGGUAUUUAUCAAGCUUCUCAGAGCAGGAAAUCUCUGCUAACUGGCCAAAAAUUCUCAAAAUGACGCAUUUUUGUUCCUACUUCAGGGUCAGGCGUAAAAGCAUCUUAUCAAUCUUCUUAAUGUAGGAAAUCUCUCCUCUCUGCUGAUAUUUAGGAGCUGCAGAGGAGUCCUGACCUGUCAGGAGUUUCCAGGAGACGCUGAGGGAACACUACAUCCGCCUGCAGCCACCAUUUAUCCCCCCUAAACCAGCCAACACCCAGCCGACCACCCUCGGCCCUCUUCCCAAAGGUGUGGAUAGGAGAGGAAGAACAGUCCUCUACCGAGGCGGGAGGAUGCUACAAAAGCCGAAGAAAAACCGUCCUCGAAGACGAGGACGCAACUCCGAUGCAAGUGACACAUUCCUGUGACUGGAGCAUAACCUGCAGACAGAGGUCAAAAGGUCAGAUGUCAGAGGUCAUCAGGGGUCAGAGACAGCAGAGAAAAGUGUCCUGGCCAGAAGCAAGUCACGGGUUAGUACCUUUGUUGGAGACAACAUGAUGAUUCUGACCAGAACGACGUUGAUAUUGGCUCCCAGUGAAUGAUCCUGGUAGAUCUCGUUAACCUGGAACAGAGAGAGAGAGAGAGAGAGAGAAGCACUUUAUUAACUGUAAUGCUUGGAAGCAAUCAUUCACUUAAUCUAUCUGUCUAAAUAUUGAGAAAUGCAAGAAUCUAAUAUCAGCUUUACUCUCAGAUGUCUGAGAUCACAUCUCCCAGAAUCACUGCACAACUGUGGUUGAGUUGUGUCGUUACCAUCAUGGACCAGACUGUUUAACUAAAUGUAGCACAAAAAGUAAGGAAAUUAAUGUUU